UACGUAGUGGGCAAGCGUUGUCCGGAUUUAUUGGGCGUAAAGAGCGUGUAGGCGGCUGGAUAGGUCCGUUGUGAAAACUCGAGGCUCAACCUCGAGACGCCGAUGGAAACCAUCUGGCUAGAGUCCGGAAGAGGAGAGUGGAAUUCCCGGUGUAGCGGUGAAAUGCGCAGAUAUCGGGAAGAACACCCGUGGCUAAGGCGGCUCUCUAGUACGGUACUGACGCUGAGACGCGAAAGCGUGGGGAGCGAACAGG
rnacentral:rRNA from 1 species